AGACAGAAGAUGGAAAAUUGUGUUAUAGCAAAAGCAAUAUGAAAUAAAUAUAGAUAUCAACGGAAGAAGGCUUGUGUUCUAUUGACCGUGCAGGAACAUGUAUCUUUAUGGUCAUGAAUGCUUACACAAUAUGUGGUUGCCUAGUGUGCAAGUGAAAACAGCAAUGUUUCCAUCAAACAAAACCACACAGAAAGCAUAUAUAUGUUACAAAAUAUUAUGAGAUGAAAAUGUAGACGCAAAAACUAAAAACUAGAAGUGAGAAAUAACUAAAUGUAAAUGGAAUAAUUUUUUAAUUAUGAAAAGCAAAUACACAUAUCAUCUAUCCGUGAAGACAACUUAAGAGGCAUUUCUUAUAAACUUGGACUUAGAGCACAAAGCUGUAGUUGUCAUAGAUUAUGUUGCAAAGAUUUUAAUUGAUUGACAUCAAAUGUCAUCGGAGGGGCUUUGAUUUGUUAUUUUUUUCCUAUAAAUUUUUUUUUCUCAAAAACAACAAUACCUUCUUCUCCACAUUGAUAUCUUUACCUUCAUUCUUAUUCUAUUAAAUUCUUUAUCCUCAAUGCAUAAGAAGGAGAAGAUUGCACAAAAAGCCAUGUUUUAUAAGAUAGAAAAUUAUAGAAAUUAAUUGAUAAAAAAGUCAAAAAUUUAUGUUGUUGAGGUGAGAAUGUUUAGAUAGACAAGUGGAAGAUACAAACUACUAACAAUCAAUCAAUGUAUUUGCAUAAAUGUGAGGUAGCCAUUAGAAAGGACAAGGAUAACAUGUUUAAUUUUAGUCAUUUCAAGCAAUAACUGGAUCAAAGUGAGUAACAUGUAGAAAGAACAAUUGGAAAAGUAGAUGGAUAUAAUCCAUAGGACCCAACAUAAUUUUUACAAGCCUUUGUUAAUAGUAUCAUAAACUCAAAUAGUGAUGUAGAAGCAUCUGAAGUCCAAUUCAGUUUUGGAUUUUACUUAGU
rnacentral:misc_RNA from 1 species